CUGCAAACUGAUACUUGAGAGGGCCACACCUUUCACAGCAGGCUUUCUCUAGGGAGGCUAGACUUCACUGAAGGGAAAUGAAUGAUGGAGUGAGUGAGUCCUCUCCUGACCAAGGUUAAGAACAAAUAUGAGUGCCCAGCUCAGUGCUUGAAUUGGUUGUAGGUACAAUGACCCUGAGAUUUGCCUGUACUCUAAGGGAUGUCUGCUAGAAAUAUCACUGAUCUAUAGACAGAAGACAUCUGUUCACCAACCUAUUGGGAGGAUGUAGUUGACAUAAAUAGUACCUUCUCACAAAAUUUGUUUUGUGUCUGCCAUGCAAUAAUAAACCAAAUAUUUAUAAAUUGGAAACUAGCCAUUUCCAUUUUUAUCAGUCAAAAGUAAUAAGAUUUUCUAAGUUAAUCAUCAGGCAUUGCCCCUGGUGAUUGGCAUUAUAUCACACACCCAGCUGCCAAAAGCCAUUUUCUUUGCUACUGGGAAGAAAGCUAAAAUGAGUAAUGUUAUCCAAACUUCCCUAAAUUCCAAAAAGGCUUUGGACUUGAAGCGGGACUCAUUUAUAAACACAUCUAUUUAAGCCUGGUGUUUUUGCUUGCUGUUACAGGGACUAUAUCAUAAAUGUGCAUUCUUUAGAUGAAAGAUCCUUCUCAUAGAAUGACAAUUCUGUUAAAAACCCAUUAUAUUAUGUCACAUGAAAAAUGAAAAAUUCACAUUGUAUAUGUAACAUAAUAAUAAUGAAGGAUGAAAGGGAAGAACUUCUGCUUGGAAAAAUGACUGAAAACAUACAAUGAAUAUUAAAAACUGUGAGGCUUUGAAUGGAUUUUUUUUCCUCUUUCCACAUUUAAGGGCUUUCUACUUCUUAAUCAGAACUUAUUACUAGGUCAUAAACUUAUGAAAACAUUGAAACAUUGUAUUUUAGAAUGUGUUUUAAUUUUCCUAUAGCAAUUUCAUUGCUUUUCACUUAUGUUACAAAUGUAAAACAUUUAGCAUUUUAUUAGAAUCAUUUGAAAUCAUGAACUUCUCAAACAAAAUAUUUUAAUUCAUUUAAUUGUUAAAUAAAUUGCAAUAUGCUUGCUCUAACAGGAAAAAAACUUUUUCAAAAUCUAUAAAUAAGAAACUACUAUUAAAACAGUUUUCAUUUGAUAUUCCCUGUGAAUUAAAGUAUUAUUUAAGGGUAUCAGAAAGGAAGUAUUACAUUUAACUUCCAGUCAAACCCAGUUUCUGGUUAUUUUAUAAAAAUAUCUAUUAAUACGAGGAAUUUUAUAUCUUUAUCUAUAUAUAGAUAUAGAUACUGAUAGAUAUAUAUUCAUUGAGAAAGCUGCUUAUAAUUUGAGAAUAUUAGUCAUGGAGUUUUCACACAUUUACUGGUUUCGUACUACCACAUGUUUUCCUCCUGCCUCUCUUUUCCAUCUUUAGCUUAAAAAAGGGAAAGAAGAGGAGGAGGAGGAGGAAGAGGAGAAGGAGGAGGAGGAAGCAGAGAAGGAGGAGGAGGAGGAGAAAAGGAUUUGAAGAAAUUGAAUCAGUUCUGGAACAGCAGACACAGGAAUUCAGGACAUGCUACCCCAAAAUGUGAAAACUUGGCAUUUGAGAAGACAGCAGAAGCAGGAAGGUCACGCUCACUACCUCCCCCACAAUGCUCUACUCCCCUGAAACAGAUCAUAAAACCUAGGAAGGAUUUCCUGACCAUCCCCUCAAGUAGGUCUUAUGACCCUCAUGUGAGAGGUGCCCUCCCUAUACCCAGAAGAUAGCAACAUCCUCAUUUCUGAAGAUACAAGGACAAAGAGAAGAGUUUGAACAAACGGCUUCCUAAGUUCUCCCCAGUUUAUUAACAUUAUGUUACAGUCUCACCAACGCACCGCAAUGUAGCAGUCUCUCGUUUGAGGUAUCACCCUGAGUUCUCGGUCUCACAACCAUGACAAUUAAGGAACAUGAUCACCAAGGGUGAGGUUGGAGUGGAAGUUUAAUAAGCAAAAGAAGAAAGUUCUCCACCACAGAAAGGGGCCCAAAAGAGGGUUGCCAUUUUUACAGUUGAAUGCAAAGGCUUUUAUAAGAAACCAGUUAGAGCUGGGCAUCUCAUUUGCAUGAGAUGCGAAUUUCUGGUAGCUCCACCCCAUCCUCCUAAUGCACAUGUAGGCCCUUAGCUUGAGUUACUCCGUAUUGCUUUGUUGCCCUUACUGCACAUGUGUCAGGGGAUGGAAUUUUCCAUUACGGGCAUGUCUGGGCAAGUCACCUGUGUAGGCUUUCUUAUCUGUGUGGCUGUGGGCAUGUCUUAGGCAAGUGCCGCUGUGCAAGUUCCCUUAUCUGUGCCUGCAGCUUGAUUUUUCUGGCUGUUCUUUUGUUUGAAAAGAUUCAACCAAGGACCCACCAUAACUGCCUGCCUGACUGGUUUCUUCCUCCUUCCUCUCUCAAUGAUAUCAUUCUCCCUUUGUUCAAUCAUAUUUCUUCAUCAAACCUAGCAUAAAGAAUAUACAAAUUUAUGCAUUUGGGGGAGGUCUUCCUUUCCUUAUGAAGGCUUCCAUACCACGUAUAAAUAAUAUGUGUAUGAUUUUCUCUUGUGAAUCUGUAUUUUGUUAUAGGGGCCUCAGCCAUGAACCUAGAGAUUAGUGAGCAAAAAUUAUUUUUUUCUCAAGUGUUUCUUGCUUGAGAUGAUUUUCUUAUCCCCAAGAUUAAAAUAUUAUGUGUUUCUUCCAUGAUUUUUAUGGUGUUUAUAUCUAUUUCUUUAAUCUUUCUAGAAUGUACUUUUGUACAUGCUGAAAGGUAGAAUUAAUUUUGCAAAAAGGAAAAAGCUACUUGCUACUUUUACUAUAAUUAUAAUUAUAUAAUUAUUAUUAAGGUUUUUUCUUUCUUCUUUCUUUUUUUUUUUUUUUUUUUUUUUUUUUUUUUUUUGAGAUAGGGUCUCACUCUGUCACCCAGGCUAGAGUGUAGUGGUGCAAUCUGGGCUCACUGCAACCUCUGCCUCCCAGGUUCAAGUGAUCCUCCAAACUCAGCUUCCCAAGUAGCUGGGACUACAGGCAUGUGCCACCACAAUUAUUAUUUCAUUAGACCCUCUCUGGAUCUUGUUCCAUCUCUAAUAUCUCUGCCAAAUGCUCCGAAUCAGGUAGAUAUAUUUAAAUUCUAGCUGGUGCAAAGAAGGAAUAAUUUGAAAAAGAAGAAAUAAUUUUAAUGCACAUGCAAGUAAUAUACGUAUUCAUCUAGUUACUUGCAUGCAUUUGUGGCCAAAAGCCAUGAAUCAUAUAAAGAAGUAGCUGCAGCCAGGCACGGUAGCUCAUGCCUGUAAUCCUAGCACUUUGGGAGGCCAAGGGCGGGGGAGGGGGUGGAUUACCUGAGGUCAGGAGUUCGAGACCAGCCUGGCCAACAUGGUGAAACCCUGUCUUUACUAAAAAUACAAACAUUAGCUGGUCAUGGUGGUGGGUGCCUAUAAUCCCAGCUACUUGGGAGGCUGAGGAGAAUUGCUUGAACCCAGCAGAUGGAGGUUGCAGUGAGCUGAGAUUGUGCCACUUUACUCCAGCCUGGGUGAAACAGCAAAACUCCAUCUCAAAAAAAAAAGUAGCUUCAAUGCUGUUUUCAAGAUACUUAAGCCAAUUUGGUCAUACACCCUUAUUAGUUGCUUUAUGAUUAGCUCUCCAAAGCUUCCAGUAAUUAGAAUUUGGUGACAACCAUAGAGACUUCAAUUCCAAAUGGUAUGUUAUAAUGAAAGCAAAUUUCAGACCUCAUUCAGCCAUGGGUAUAAAUAUGUAUUAGCAAUCAGGCCCUCCAAAUAGUCAUACUACCCGUUUUAUAAGCUUGAUGAAGUCUUAGCUCUCUGACCUUUCAGUGUUCCCACAGAACCUUAUGAGCGUCAGAGACAGGAGGACCAUGUUCCAGCUUUGGAGCAGGAUUAACUAACUCUCAAAUGAGAGUCAGGUGAAAAAUUCUCUCACUACAGUCUAGAAUUUCAAGCCUGGAGAGAUAAUUCAAACAGUCUAGAAUUUCAAGCCUGGAGACAUAAUUCAAAAUGAAUAGACAGGCUAGCUGGACUUUUACACCUCAUUUAUGCAAAGGCAAGAGUAUCCAUAAGACAUUUUUAUCCAAUCCACAUAAAAUUGAAUUCAUUUUACCAGUAAAAAAUCAUUUCUAACAUCCCUUAUGCUAAUUAACAAACCCCCUGGGAUUGAUAUGAGAUAAAGACGACUGGAGCCAUAAUCUAAUCCUUCUGGAAUGUGGCUUCUGAAUGGAGAAUUUCUUUUUUUGUGUGUGAGAUGAAGCCUCACUUUGUUGCUGAGGCUGGAGUGCAGUGGCACGAUCCCGGCUCACUGCAACCUCUGCCUCCCAGUUUCAAGCGAUUCUCCUGCUUUAGCCCCCACCAAGUAGCUGAAAUUACAGACAUGAACCCAAUGCCUAGCUAAUUCUUUUUUUGAAUUUUUAGUAGAGACGGGGUUUUGCCAUGUUGGCCAGGCUGGUCUCGAACUCCCGACUUCAAGUGAUCCACACCCACCUUGGCCUCACAAAGUCCCGGGAUUACCUGCGUGAGCCACCAAGCCAAGCCUGAACUGACAAUUUCAAAUAUUAACCUACCAUCCAGGAGUAUAUUUUUCCUGAGAGAGUUCAGAAAUAUCACCCCAAAAUAUGCAGCAUUGGUAUGCUGAUUACUUCAAACUGAAGUCAUUUGGGAAAUGCCAAACGCACAGAGGGGCUUUUCCUGAAUUUCCCUUAUCUGACUAAGUGCAGAUUCUCCAGAAGGAAGCCAAUUGUCAAGAAAUGCUUCCUGGGGAUUUUUAUCUAUCCGUGAAGAUUAACACACAACAGAAGUCAAACCUAGAAAAAGCUGGAGGUUAGCACCUCCUACAGACAGGAUAUAACCUAUUCUUCUGAAGGCUGAUUCGUACUUUUCAUAAUCAUUUACUCUCCCUAGGUUGCCUACAUACUCCCCUUCCCUCUCUCUUAUGAAGGGAAUAUA
rnacentral:lncRNA from 1 species